AGGGAAUCAUGUCAGCUUUAUUCAUUUUCUUUCUGCAAUGCUCUGAACACAGCCCUAAUCUAACCAACUCACAUCUGUUCACCUCUGACCUUCUUCCCCUGUCUCCAAUCUGAUUGGUCAAGAUCCAGACAGCGCUUAGCAACCCAGGGAGUUCUGACCAGCCCUUGUAAGGGCAGAAGGAGUGUUUGUGUUAUGUCUCCCUGAGUUUUAAUGGAGCUUUCUACGAAGGAGAUUAUAUUUGAUACUUUUAUACUUCCUAUAAAAACAUGUAGUACAUUAGGAGGAAGUCUUUUCUCUUGUUUUAGGGGUCAAAAGAUCAGAUUUUAGGAUUUGAGCUUGUUUUACUGCUGUAAUGUGGUGAAACUUUAAACAGGAUUGAACUGAUUAGAGGAAGGCUUAUAAACAGCCCAGUAUCUCAGGACAGGCAAGGCAGUGGAACAGUGAAAGCCUCUAUUCUUUCUCUCACUACUCCCUUGUUCUUUCUCUCUUCCCCCCUCUUUCAAAGGGAAUUGGAAACACAUGUUUACAUUGCCAAAGCAAGUGGAAUAGACAAACAAAAGGGAAAUAAACUCUCUCUCUCUCUCUCUCUCUCUCUCUCUCUCUCUCUCUCUCUCUAGUCAGUAGGAGGAGGGCUGUUUAUUGUAGGUGUGGCAAGGGGAGUGGCCGACCUUCAUGCUGAGAGGUCACGGAGGAGGAGCCCCAUGGAUGAGGGUCAGUGCGAGAGUGCGGGACCAGUGGUGUCAGAGGGUCAGGAGGGCGUAGUGGACCUCCACUACAACCAAUUGGACCCCUCGGAACCAAUUCAGGUCUCCGCCCACCAAAACCAGAACUUGACACAAACUCAACUCGAUGAUGGUCAGAGGGUUGGAUGUGACUCCAUCGAACAAGACUCUUUAAAUGCUAAUAGGGAUGAAGAGGAGGAGGAAGAUGGUGAUAGAAAGAUGAAGGGAGAGGAUGAUGAUGUGAUGGUGGAAGAAGAGAAGGACAGUGUGACAGCACCCGACACUCCUAUGACUGACUCCUCCUUCUCAGACACAGGCAGUUUGGUAGAGCUUCACCCUUCUGUGUCUCCAGAGACUACAUGUCCCGUCAGCCUCGUAGCAGGUUGUCCAGACGAACCCUCCUACAGUAACCCUGAAGGGAAGAGGCACACCUCCACCACAGAACCUACAGGACCUACCUCCACCACAGAACCUACCACCUCCACCACAGACCCUAGCACUGCCCUCCUAGCCUCCCUAGAGGAGCUAGGGGAACGUAAAGAUCACUCCCACCUUCCUCAGUCCCUCCAUCAGGUGUGUGCCCGUCCCUCUCCAUUCUAUAUAUUGUAUUUCUACCUGCCUGCGCUGUUCUCAAGUCAACAUUUAUCUGGCAGCCUGGUGUAGGUGUGAUUCCCUCUGUGGUUAGCUGUAAUUCCUCACUAUAUAUGCAAAAGUAUGUGGACACCCCAGAACAUGAGAACAUAUGAAAGCUGGUGGUUCCUUUUAACAUGAGUCUUCAAUAUUCCCAGGUAAGAAGUUUUAGGUUGUAGUUAUUAUAGGAAUUAUAGGACUAUUUCUCUCUAUACCAUUUGUAUUUCAUAUACCUUUGACUAUUGGAUGUUCUUAUUGGCACUUUAGUAUUGCCAGUGUAACAGUAUAGCUUCCGUCCCUCUCCUCGACCCUACCUGGGCUCGAACCAGGAACACAUCGACAACAGCCACCCUCGAAGAUUCAUUACCCAUCGCUCCAUAAAAGCCAUGGCCCUUGCAUGGGAAAGGGGAACAACUACUCCAAGUCUCAGAGCGAGUGACGUUUGAAACUCUAUUAGCGCGCACCCCGCUAACUAGCUAGCCAUUUCACAUCAGUUACACCAGCCUAAUCUCGGGAGUUGAUAGACUUCAAGUCAUAAACAGCGCAAUGCUUGAAGCAUUUGCGAAGAGCUGCUGGCAAACACAUGAAAGUGCUGUUUGAAUGAAUGCUUACGAGCCUGCUGCUGCCUACCAUCGCUCAGUCAGACUGCUCUAUCAAAUAUCAAAUCAUAGACUUAAUUAUAACAUAAUAACACACAGAAAUACGAGCCUUUGGUCAUUAAUGUGGUCAAAUCCGGAAACUAUAAUUUCGGAAAUAAAACGUUUAUUCUUUCAGUGAAAUACGGAACCGUUCCCUAUUUUAUCUAACGGGUGGCAUCCAUCAGUCUAAAUAUUCCUGUUACUUUGCACAACCUUCAAUGUUAUGUCAUAAUUACGUAAAAUUCUGGCAAAUUAGUUUGCAGCGAGCAAAGUUUAAUAUUGCCCGCUAACAUGAAUUUAUUUUAACUAAAUAUGCAGGUUUAAAAAUAUAUACUUCUGUGUAUUGAUUUUAAGAAAGGCAUUGAUGUUUAUGGUUAGGUACAUUCGUGCAACGAUUAUGCGCUUUUGAAAAUCCCCCGUUUCGCAAAGUAGGCUGUCUUUGUUAGGAAGAAAUAGUCUUCACAGUUCGCCAUGAGCCAGGCGGCCCAAACUGCUGCAUAUACCCUGACUCUGUUGCACAGAAUGCAAGAGAAGUGACACAAUUUAUUUACCUAGUUAAAAGAAAUUCAUGUUAGCAGGCAAUAUUAAUUAGGCCUGGCUGGCCAACUGCCCAACAUCAGAGCCCCGACCUCACUAAUGCUCUUGUGACUGAAUGGAAGUCCCUGCAGCAAUGUUCCAACAUCUAAUGGAAAACCUUCUCAAAAGAGUGGAGGCUGUUAUAGCAGCAAAGGAGGGACCAACUCCAUAUUAAUGCCCAUGAUGUUGGAAUGAGAUGUUUGACAAGCAGGUGUCUAGAAGAAAAAUAAACGCACACCUACCAAGACGAGGUGCUCGCUAGCGGAGUAGAAACUUGAAAAUAAAAGAGAGCCGCACACUCUAGGAGCUCAGAUGCAAAAAUGUAAUAAACACUGCGGGAUGACUCAUUUAUAUAGUGUCAAAAGACACAGGUGUCUGUAAUCAUGGCCAGGAGUGGCCUAAUAUCAUUGGUUAAUAAUCAAAUAUUAAAAUGUCAUACAAAGAACAGCAUAUAAACAAAUGGAUAGCAUACGAUCAUAAAUUAGUGACAAGCAGGUGUCCACAUACUUUUGGUCAUGUAGUGUAUUUACCAGACUGACUGAACACACACACACACACACACACACACACACACACACACACAGCCAUCACAGUGUGUGUGAGUGUGGUAUAAUCCCUGUCAUUAUGAUACACAGAGCUCUGGGUGAAGUGAAGUGAAAAUGUGUUGUCUAUUCCCUCCUCCACCAGUAGGGGCACUGCUGUCAUUUCUGAUCAGCACCUCUCUGCAUCUGUCUACUCCAAUGAUGUAAAUACAUCAUUGGUCUACUCCCUCCCUCCUCCCAACACUUUCAACUGUCUCCUGGGGGCGCGUUCAGGUGGGUUCAGCGUUACAGAAUGUUCAGAUAUAAAUGUAUUGUUGAGAACAGACAUGGCCCAAAUGGAACCCUGGACCCUAGCACAGACUGGGAGGAUUUGACCGGUGCAGUCAAUAUGGUAAUCGCUCCACCUUGCCCUCUGAUAGGUUAGGUGAAAGUUUCACCAUAUUUAUUAUGGCAAUCAAAUCCUCUCAGAUCUUCACAUUCGCAUAGGGCAGCGGUUCCUAAACUAGGGGUCGCAACCCCAUGUGCCUAAUAUGAAAAAAUACAAAACAAAUUAUUUACUGUAUAUUAUAAUAUCGUCUUUGUAUCUCAAAAUCAUGUGGUUGACCUUAAAAUAUCUAAAUGAAAAUGAUUCAAAUCUAAAGGGUAAUAUUCAACCAGAUCAUGGAAAGAGGCUACACUGUACUGGUGAAUCGGUUGGACCAGCAACACUAUGAAACCACACAAUAUUGCAGAGACUUUGAUAUUACCAGCCGCAAUUUAUAUAGUGAAAGCCAUGUGUGGGGAGGGAAGAGGCUCAGAAACUCACAUCAAUACAUUUGUCAAAUAACAGUGUUUAAUGAAGAAUUCAUGCUAUUGCUAGCAAUCAACAGGAAACUCUUAAUGACUCAAACUGCCAUAUGGAAGCAUUGUAUGGCACAACGAGAGCAACUGGCGCCAAACGAGCUGAGCAGAGAACUCUGACUACAUCAAACCACAUCCACUGCGCACGCCUGUUCACAAAACUUUGUGGAGAUAAGGGAUCAGAACAUGACAAUGUUGUAUUUCACAGCGAAGCUUGGUGGUUAUCGAUGGGGAGUGGUGGAAAGAUGUUUUUCAUUAAGAGAGGAACUCUUGUAGUUCACAAUGGAGGUAAAAAAAAAACUUGGUUGACUUUCUGUGUAAUGAAAAGAAAACGAGUCUCCUUGCCUAUUUAUCAGACCAAUUUUAGAAAC
ensembl:lncRNA